GCUUCAAGUUAUGUGUGACUACCCC
rnacentral:rRNA from 1 species